UUGAUUUUUAAUAUGAUGAGAUACAAAUGCAACAUAGAGUCAAGCUCAGAGUUAAAUAACAGGGACGAGACUUGCGAUUACACUCUGAUUUUAAAUCAA
rnacentral:snoRNA from 1 species